ensembl:lncRNA
UCUUUCUUUUUUUCUGUAAGCGCACACGUUUAUGCGGUUUACACAUCUGACAACCAUUUGAUGUUCCAGCAACAACGGCUCUAUUACGUGAUGAAAAAAAGACUGUAACAGUUAUCGUCCUGUAACAACGAGAAGCGACGACGUUCGUACAUUUAAAAGUGAUUUUCGUUGGUUGUUUGUAGCGGUUGUAUUCGGUGCUCAUUUUUUUUUGGUGGUGAUUUUUGAAAGUCAUUUCUUCAGGUUGUAUCCAGAGGUCCUUUUUCAUUUUCGUUUUUUUUUUGUUGCACAUUUUUCAUCGGUUGUUUCGCUGGUUGUUUUUGGUCAUUGUUUUUGAAGGUUGCUUUUUGUUGAUUGUUUUCUCUGGUAGUUGUUUUGGGGGUCUUUUUUUGGUGGUCAUUUUUGAAAGUUGUUGGUGGUUGUAUUCAGUGGGCUUUUUUUUGGUGGUUGUUUUCGAUGGUUUGGUUUGUUGGUUGUUUUUGGAGGUUGUUUUCGGUGGUCAUUUUGGAAAGUUGUCGAUGGAUUUUUUUAGAAGCGGUAUUCAGUCGUUAUUUUCAGUGGAGUUUUUUUUUCUGGUGGUCAUUUUUGGCAGUUGUUUUUCGUGGUUCUUUUUAGUGGUUUUACUCACUGGUCAUUUUCACAGGUCAGUUAGUUUUGGUGGAUGUAUUUGGUGGUCUGGUUUGUUGGUUGUUUUUGGUAGUUGUUUUUGGAGGUUGUUUUCUGUGGUCAUUUUUGAAAGUUGUUGGUGAUUGUUUUUAGUUUUCAUUUUCAGUGGUGAUUAUUAUUAUUUUAUUUUUUUGGUGGUCAUUUUCAGAGGUUAUUUAUGGUGGAUGUUUUUGGUGGUUAUAUUUUGUUGGUCGUUUUUGGAGGUCAUUUUUGGUGGUCGUAUUCAGCGGACAUUUUCGCUUUAGGUGGUUUUCGGUUAUCAGUGUUCAUUUUUAGUGGUUGUUUUCCCAUGCUUAUUUUCAGUGUUUUCAUUGUUGGUUGUUAUUAUUCAGUGGUCAUUUCUAAUGUUUUUUUUUUUUUUUUUUGGAUUCUGUGUGGACUGAAGUGUAAAAUGUUGAAAAUACACAUGCACUAUAAAAUGCAUCCAUUAUAAGGGUAACCAAACAAAAUUAGUAUUGCAGGCCUUAAGACUCAGACGGAGUGACUCAAUGUUACAAGUUCAAAGCCCAGGACUGCCAAAAAUGUCACUCCUGGGUGCUUGAGUUUGAUUCUUGCCCCUCGACUGCUUGCAUUGUGUUAUCUCUGAAUUGCAAGUGGCUUGAGAUGAAAGUGAAAUGAAUCAUCCUUGAGUAAACUGCAGACUUUCAGCAGAUGGGUAUGUAUCGAUCAGCAAGUCAUUUGCUAGAUACCUGGAAACAAACAGUAGCCUGUGUUAUCUUUAUUCUUCCUAUCAUAUAUAUGGAACUC